AUAAAUAAAUAAAUAAAAGAAUCAGGGCGCCUGGGUGGCCUAGACGGUUAAGCAUCCAACUCUUGAUUUCAGCUCAUCACGGUUCGUGAGUUCCAGCCCCGCAUCAGACUCUGUGCUGGCAGUGCAGAGCCUGCUAGGGAUUCUCCCUCUCUGCCCCUCUCCUGCUCAAUAAAUAAACUUAAAAAUAAAAAUAAUAAAAGACAGAAUAAAGGAGGUCAGAAGGUGGUUUGCAAUCUUUGGACAUAGCUGGCUUGUAUUGCCCAUGAAGAGAUAAAGUUCCCCGGCCUUUCUUCAUUACCUUUACAAUUUGCUCAGAGUGUCGGGGUCACCAAAGAGCUCACUGUGAGAAGCAAAAAUCAUCCUGUGCCUCUCCCCAUAGGUCAUGGGCUUGGAGAGUGUCAGAGCUUGGAGGAGGGACCUGAGACACAGAGGACCCAACGUGUCCGGAGGAGUGUCCUGAGAACCUUGACCUCAGUGCCGCUGCCUGGCUCGGCACAGGCAUGAACAUGUGGUCGCAUCACUGGAGCCUGAACACCGAUCCGGACUUGAGACUUCCCUUGUUCAAUAACUCUGUAACCCCUGGCCAGGGCCGGUCUCUCGCACUCACCCAGCUUCCGACGUACCCAUGUCUCCUCACGGUACUCUUGACGAUUAGACCACCUUCCAAAGCAACUGGAACAUUCUCGACGUUACCUUCGGAGGCUCCAUGCAGCCCACCCGACCGCACGGUGAGAAUUCUGACGAAGCAUCUGGAAUGGUUUUGCUCUUCUGAGGUGGCCGUAAAUACAGCUUCCCUACAGCGUCCAUCUGCGGGCUGGUGUUAGCGACGUGGUCCCGACGUGGCUGAGCAGGCCCGAGGGAUGGUUCGGAUCGAAGCAGGGGCAGAGUGGGGCCCGAACACAACCAGCAGCCCCGGAACGUAGGCCACACUCUCUGGAGCCUCAGGACGUGGAUAUCCGAGGACCAGGCAGAGGGGAGCCCUUCGGGGAGAGGGUGAUGUCAGGUGAGGGACGUAGGGCUGGCAACCGAGGCAAGAAGCUAAUUCAGCGCUGGACGUCUGGACCGUGUUCUACGGGGGAAAAUGUCUAUUACCGUGUUUCUUGAUCAGGAGGCCACGCUUGGGAAAUAUGGAAUAACUUCGAGAAACACUACUGAGCAAAAAUCAAGGGGGGGUACCCCCACCUCCGGCCUUCCAGACGUUUCCGCUCUUCGCCUGGGCAGCAAGCUUUUUGCAAAGGGCAAAUCUUUCCCAGGGCAUUCCCCACCCGUUUUUCCGUAGCCCACACCGCAUCCCCCACAAGCCGAGGGGCUACUGGGUUGAUACAGUUCAAAAUGUAUCACCACUUAAAUAACACAUUCUAGUUGCAGAAAAAUUUUAAACCACAGAAAAAUGUAAAUAAGAGAUAAACCUGUGGUCCAACCACCCAGAGAGCCUCACUGGUAAUAUUGUGAUGUAUUUCCUCCUGGUCUUGUUUUUCUUUCCUUUUCAAAAUUUUUUUAAUUAAAAACAAUUGUUUUUGUCCGAUGUACGGGUUCAACUCACGACCCUGAAACAUUUUUUUAAUAUUUAUUUUUUAGAGAGUGAUAGAGAGACAGAGAGAGAGAGGGAGGUGUAGAAAGAGAGGGAGACCCAGAAUCCGAAGCAGGCUCCAGGCUCUGAGCUGUCAGCACAGAGCCCGACACGGGGCUCGAACUCACAGAGUGUGAGAUCGUGACCUGAGCUGAAGUCGGACGCUUAACUGACUGAGCCACCCAGGUGCCCCAUUGAACUCCCGACCCCUAGAUCAAGAGUCUAGGCAGCCAAUCGCCACCCCUGAUUUUGUUUUUCAAUACAUGCUUUAAAAUUUUUUUUAAACAUAAAUGCAAUUAAAAAAAAACCACAUAGAUGUGAUUUAUA